UAAUGCAAAUGGAAACAACGAUUUUUCACUUAUGUGCAAAACUGAAGCCAUAGAAGGAAAAGGGAUAUAGCUUUUGGUCCUUAUUCUAUACUUUAAUCAGUGAGAUGUAUCUGAGAUGCGGGAUCUUCCUCUUUCCCUAGAGCCCAAUACUUUGCUAAUUCCUUUAAUACUAUUUUGCCCGUAAAAACUUCAGCAAUAACUGUGUCAUGACCCUCAGUGCACUAAUAGGUCUUAAUUGCCCUGAUCAACCUCACCUGGGACCACACAGCCCCACGCUGCCCAGGAUCCCUGUUUCAGCUCUGCCCCAGGCAGCAGCUCCCCUUUUAAGCUGUGCCUGUGCUCAGUUCUGUUCCUGAAUUGUUGUUUCAUCUUUAUUUGAUGAUCUCAGACCUGGCUACCUGUGCUUGCCUUUUACUGGAUUGCUGGUGGGAUCUGCUGCUACCUUUCCUUCUCUGCUUGCCCAUCUCAAACCUACUGGGAAGGUGCCUUGUUGAUGAGAGUACUGCUCGUGCUGGGGUCACCUGUGGCUCCCAGUUCCUCUGUGCUUGUGGGCUGCCCGGCUCCCGUACCUCUGUGAUAGACUGUCAGCAAAUACCCAAAAGGGCACAUUAUGGUCUCUCCCAGAACCCUUAUACUGCAACUGCACUGUUACUUACUACAGAGGCAAUGGAAAGGUGCUUGCUGAGAAGAGAAAUUGAGACUGAAGACCUGUGGUCACAUUCAGCCUGAACCACAUGACUGCUGGGCUUGUCUGAAAGUCGGGGUACUGGCCUACGCUGCUAUGACUACAUGAAACAAAUUCAAUGUCAAUAAUGAUUGAGGUGACUGCUAAAAAAUUUGCUAUAGAGACCAGUGAGACAAAGCACAGUUUUUCUUCAUCAUGCUUCACAUUGUAUAAAGACCAGUAGACUCACUGAAAUUUUGACUUUUAAAGGCAUUUUUAAUAACUAUUAAGAAGUUAGUGGUAACCUUGAAACUACAAUAUUUAAUAUCAAGUUAAAGCUGCCAGAUACACUUUUUCCUUAAAUUUUUUUUUUUUUUUUUUUUUUUUUUCAAGAGAACAGGUGGGAUAAGGCACCUGUUUUGCUUUAUUUUAGGGUUUUGUUUAUCUGUUUCAGUUUUGUGUUUGUUUGGGUUUCUGUUUUUGGUUUGUUUGGGGUGAUUGUUUGUUUGUUUUUUUUUUUUUUGUUGGGGUGUUUUGGUUUGGUUUUUGUGUGUUUGGGUUUUUUUUUUUGUUUGUUUGUUUGGGGUUGUUUUGGUUUAGUUUUAAUUGGUUUAUCUUCCACUGGACUUCCUCAAUAACAAUUCUAGUUUUUUGAGUCUACACAGGCUGUUAGUUUGACAAGACAGAACAAAGAGUUGAUGGCUUCCUGCAGUAUAUGCUUCUAGCAGAGGAUGAGUAAAAUGUCUAUUUUAGAAUGCUUCUCUCUCUAGCAGUGAUAGACAGUGGAUGUUGAAAUAACAUAUACUAAAAGAUUCAAGUAAAUCAUGAGGACUGCAAAUUAGAUUAGAUGUUUGAAGACCACUAAAGCUUACAAACAGAAAGUAGGUCAAAAUACUGACAUAAACUGAACUUACUUUUCCUUCAUCAGAGGCUUGAAGUAGAACUCUAAUAUGAAAUGAAACAUGGAAAUUGGUUAUUUAUGUAUAAGUGAAGUUGUUAGCAAGAACAAAUGUGCUGCUCUAAACACUAGCUAAAUCAAGAGAGUUUAAGCACUACUUUUCUAAAUCUGAUUUUGACCUAGAGUGUGGUUUCAUCCUGUCAUGGUUUAAGACUGCUUUUUCAUGUGCCCUUGUGCGGUUUUCCUAGUUGUUCACUAGUGAAGGAAUUAAUUUUUAUGAACUUGAUACAAAUAUAUAUAUAUAUUUUUAAGAUUAUUUAGCUUUCACCCAAUAUAAUCUGGUGGUUUGGCAGUUACCCACCGUUUAACUGGAAGUGUGCCUACAAAAGGUUAACUAAAAUCAACAUUUAGAUGGAGCUCUGCUUCUUCGGAACUUACUGUUUUGCAUGUGUGGAUAAAAUGUCUUUUGUUUGUUUUGUUUUUCUUGAAUGUUGAGCAUGGUGACAAAAACUUAUUUCAAAAUAAAGAACUUCAUUACAGCUUUUAUCAUAAAACAUGUGGGUAUAUUAAAAAAAGUUAAGAAGAACCAAAUAAUUUUCAAAAUUACCACUUCCAUAGAAUUUUUAAAAAAUGUUUGAAUUUCUAACAGGCGCUAACAAAUCAGAAUCAAAACACCAGUUUAAAAUGCAUACUGCUUCCUAUGUUCAGCUUGUUACCUAUCUCAGACUUGUGUUCGAAUUAAGGAACACUUCAAAAGAGCAUAAAUUACUAUAUUUUCCAGAAGAGGAAUAGUGGGAUAAACUCCUCCAGUUAACAGUAGUAGAAAAAAAGAGUAUCUGAAACAUGUGGUAGCCAAUCUCUGAAAGCAGUUACUAAUAUGUAGAAAUGAUGCAGAAAAUACUUAAAGUUUGGAGGAAACUGAACUUCACUCUUCCUCAUAUUAUCAUAAUAAUGACUGUCUUAUGGGAAUAACAUGUUUUGGUCAGUUAGCUAGUAUACAAAGACCGGAAAAAUAAUUUAAAUAAAGCAGACAGUCUUAUCCUACAUAAGAAAAAACUGUGUCUUCGUUCCCACUGUUUUGUGCUGCUAUUUUCACAAAUAACAAAACUGUGGCUUGUUCUGGUUAAAACAGACAUCUCCUAUGGGAAAGAUUUGUUGGAUUUCUCAAUUUUAUAUGUCAAUUAUUUCUUUUUUCUUACAAGAAAAAUUGUAUCUUUUUAUUAUUUCAAUAUUCUCCUGAGAGUCUGGAAACAUGUU